rnacentral:rRNA from 1 species
AAACUCAAAGGAAUUGACGGGGCCCGCACAAGCGGCGGAGCAUGCGGCUUAAUUCGAUGCAACCCGAAGAACCUUACCUGGACUUGACAUCAUGGGUCCGCCUGUGGAAACACAGGGGUGCUUUUGCGCCCAUGACAGGUGGUGCAUGGCUGUCGUCAGCUCGUGUCGUGAGAUGUUGGGUUAAGUCCCGCAACGAGCGCAACCCUUGUCCUAUGUUGCCAGCGGUUCGGCCGGGGACUCAUAGGAGACUGCCGGGGACAACUCGGAGGAAGGCGGGGACGACGUCAAGUCAUCAUGCCCCUUAUGUUCAGGGCUGCACGCAUGCUACAAUGGGCGGUACAACGGGCUGCGAUCCCGCGAGGGUGAGCGAAUCCCUGAAAACCGUCCUCAGUUCGGAUUGGAGUCUGCAACUCGACUCCAUGAAGCCGGAGUCGCUAGUAAUCGCGAAUCAGCAAUGUCGCGGUGAAUACGUUCUCGGGGCUUGUACACACCGCCCGUCACAUCACGGAAGUCGGUAACGCCCGAAGUCAGUGGCCUAACCUUUUUGGAGGGAGCUGCCGAAGGUGGGAUCGGCGACUGGGAUGAAGUCGUAACAAGGUA